AACGUAGGUACCGAGCGUUAUCCGGAUUUACUGGGCGUAAAGCGCGUUCAGGCGGUUUGGCAAGUCGGGCAUGAAAUCUCUCGGCUCAACCGGGAGAGGUUGUCCGAUACUUCCAGACUUGAGGGCAGUAGAGGGUGGUGGAAUUCCGGGUGUAGUGGUGAAAUGCGUAGAUAUCCGGAGGAACACCAGUGGCGAAGGCGGCCACCUGGACUGCUCCUGACGCUGAGACGCGAAAGCUAGGGGAGCGAACGGG
rnacentral:rRNA from 1 species